rnacentral:antisense_RNA from 24 species
UGUUAUGGCAGUGUGCGUGGGAGAACCGCAAGGUUCGCCGUUUCUUUCGUAGCGGUAGUCUCAAUCCUGCGUACACUGUCGCCCUC